GCUGACAGCACAACAAUCUCAGAGAGUUUUGGCCUCAGCCGUUUGACUCUAAUCAGGAAAUCAUUUUUAGAAAGAUUUGUCAGUGUAAGAAAACAAGCUCCUGAACUAAAUUAGGAUCUGGAUUAUUUUUCCCUCCUCUCUCGAUCUGCAGUGCAAGGCAGAGUGGUGAGCCAUCACGGUUUUGUGUGUGGUGAAUUUGUUUCCACUGCACAUUUUAAUUCGGAGCUCCUGAAGGUGUCUGUGUUUGUAAGGACUGUGUUUUUGGAGCUGCUCCCUCGGAGUAAUGAAUUCACGGCAUGUCUCUGGGAAAUUAAGAUUCAGCCAUGUCUUCCUAGGAUCCAGCAUCCAAACCUGGACCAAAGUCCUCGGAUCCUCAGCAAUGGGGGUGCAUCUGGUGAUGGUGUUCAUGCUAAAUUUGUGCCAAGAGACACCUGUACUUGUGGGAGAAUUAAUAUUUCACUUCUGUUUAGGUUUCUUUUCUGGGAGCUGCUAUCACUGAAUACAUAAAGAAAUUGAGCCUAUAUGAUUUCAAUCUUCACCUUCUGAUGCUGAUGAAACAGGAUUCUAUGCAGUUUUCCACAGGGAGAAGCAGCAGGCUGAAGUGGCUCUUUAGGGAGACACAUACCUCCACAGGAAGAGCAGUCUAGAUUGUUUUAGCACAUUCCACUUAAGGAUUGCAGUGUGACAGCAGACCCAAUUGAGUCUGGAAGUAGCUCUGGGAUUUGCUGCAUGUUGCUGGCCCUGAGUUUUGGAGAGAAGCCCUGAUAAGACUAAGAGGGAUGCUGAUAACCUGGAGGGACAUUGAUGACAGAAAAUCCUCUCCAGUCAAGUAAUUGCAUCCAUUUCAUCUUCCCAGCCCUCCUCUAGAUGGGAGGUGGAGGACAGUGGGGACCCCAGCCAGAGCCUGGGGACUUGGCUGCCUUGGAACCAGAACCUGGCCCCUCAGAGGAGUUGCAGAAUUUCGAUAGAGGAGUGGCAGGAGGUGUACUGGCUGAAGAGGAGGCCCAAG
rnacentral:lncRNA from 1 species